GCGGACGGGUGAGUAACGCGUAGGAAUCUACCCAGUAGCGGGGGAUAGCCCGAGGAAACUCGGAUUAAUACCGCAUACGCCCUAAGGGGGAAAGGGGGGGAACUCUUCGGAGACCUCUCACUAUUGGAGGAGCCUGCGUUGGAUUAGCUAGUUGGUAGGGUAAAGGCCUACCAAGGCGACGAUCUAUAGCUGGUCUGAGAGGACGAUCAGCCACACUGGGACUGAGACACGGCCCAGACUCC
rnacentral:rRNA from 1 species